rnacentral:rRNA from 1 species
AGAAUCAACGCUGGCGGCGUGCCUAACACAUGCAAGUCGAACGAGAAAGUGGAGCAAUCCAUGAGUACAGUGGCGACCGGGUGAGUAACACGUGACUACCUACCCUUGAGUGGGGGAUAACCUCGGGAAACCGAGGCUAAUACCGCAUAAUAUCGAGAGAUCAAAGGAGUAAUCCGCUUUUGGAGGGGGUCGCGGCUGAUUAGCUAGUUGGUAGGGUAAUGGCCUACAAAGGCGAAGAUCGGUAUCCGGCCUGAGAGGGCGCACGGACACACUGGAACUGAAACACGGUCCAGACUCCUACGGGAGGCAGCAGUGGGGAAUUUUGCGCAAUGGGGGAAACCCUGACGCAGCAACGCCGCGUGGAGGAUGAAGCCCCUUGGGGUGUAAACUCCUUUCGACCGGGAAAAUAAUGAUGGUACCGGUGGAAGAAGCACCGGCUAACUCUGCGCCAGCAGCCGC